CUGGUGCCAGCAGCCGCGGUAAUUCCAGCUCCAAUAGCGUAUAUUAAAGUUGUUGCAGUUAAAAAGCUCGUAGUUGAAUUUCGGGGUUAGUAGGUUGGUCAUGCCUCUGGUAUGUACUGAUCUUACUGAUUCCUCCUUCCUGAUGAACCGUAAUGCCAUUAAUUUGGUGUUGCGGGGAAACUGGACUGUUACUUUGAAAAAAUUAGAGUGUUUAAAGCAAGCUAACGCUUGAAUACAUUAGCAUGGAAUAAUGAAAUAGGACGUUCGAUCCUAUUUUGUUGGUUUCCAGGAUUGACGUAAUGAUUAAUAGGGAUAGUUGGGGGCAUUAGUAUUCAAUUGUCAGAGGUGAAAUUCUUGGAUUUAUUGAAGACUAACUACUGCGAAAGCAUUUGCCAAGGAUGUUUUCAUUAAUCAAGAACGAAAGUUAGGGGAUCGAAGACGAUCAGAUACCGUCGUAGUCUUAACCAUAAACUAUGCCGACUAGGGAUCGGAUGAUGUUAAUUUUUUAAUGACUCAUUCGGCG
rnacentral:rRNA from 1 species